GGCCUCUGCCCAAUCAGAGCGCGCACACAAGAAAGGGGAGGGGGGAAAGCGAGCGAGCCGGCCGGUUGUCCUCCUCGCGUAACGCUGAGAGUAGCCGGCUGGGCCGUAAAUUAAAGGUGGUGCUGAGGAGUGUUGGGCGGGGUGCAAAGGAGUGGCCAGGUCAACUGUACCCAGCCAAUCGACCGAGUUUAUGGCUGAUUUUGCACGCCGAAAUUGCCCCUGUGUGGGAAGCGGAGUCGAACUACCAGACCGACGACCAUGUCACUGCACGCAGCCCGUCCAGUCCAGUCAGGAUACGGACGGUUUCCGCAGACCAGCCUCCUUUGUCCGCGCGCUGCCCCAGCCGCGAAGGGGAACCAGCGGCACUACUACCGUUUUUGAAGAUUUGAAGGUCUGAAGGUGUAUCCUGAGUGGUUGCUGUCUAGUGUGGUAAUCAAUGAGUUUCCUGAUUCUCUUCUCUCCCAAGGACCACAGUGUUGCUUUACUUUUCAGACAGUGGGCUGACUGACACAUCAUCUGGAUUUUCUACAACUGACAACUCUGCACCUGACAGCUAGAACAUGAUGUUAUUCGAGCUCUACAUUUGAAGGGGAUGUUACAAUUCUUUUUGUGUUGUUAUACUGGUAGUGCCCCACUUACACAUGCAAGAGAUCAUUUGAUGGUGCAGUACUCAAGUAUUGAAACUGCAUAUUGGAAUCCACCCUCGCGCUUCAGAAAAAUGAACACCAUAUUUAUCUCUCUCAAAUCCAAAACUUUUUUAGGCAUUAAGUAAGAACACUCAAUCUAGGGUUUAUAUCUCUCUGCACUCCAGUGCCAGGAAUAAACCAAGAAUUUUUUUUUUAAGUGUCUCGUCUCAGUCCUUGCUGAAAUGCCAAGCAGCGCACCAGCGGAAAUUAAGGCAAAUGCCCUGGCAUUUAACAGUGGCCUUUUCACAAAUGCAUAGGUAAAAGGGAAGUCCUACUGAUGAAACUCUCCAGUAGCCUCAACGGGGUUUUGAACAGUUCCAGUGAAAUGUCAUGUCUUUUUAACAAAUAUGAUUUUCAUAGGAAUCAGCUCUUUCAUGCUUACUUUGAAGAUUGUCUUUGAUACCAGAAUUAAUUAGCGAAAAUAUUCCUGCAGGAGCAUUCACACAUUUUUAGGAAUAACAGCAAUGGGUGGGAAGGGCUAUUUCGUCAUCUCCUUUAUCUAUAACCUGUUUCAACAUUAAGUAGUCCUGCUGUAUAUUCAAUAUUUUUUCAAUAGUAAAGAAAAUAAUGAGAACAGGCA